ensembl:lncRNA
ACAGGCUCAGCACCCGCCUACUUCCACUCACUACUACGAAUCUACAUCCCCUCCAGAAGUCUGAGAUCCGCUAGUGAGUGACGCCUCGUGGUACCAUCACAGAGAGGCUCAAAAUCACUUUCCAGAACAUUCUCAUUCACCAUUCCUGGCUGGUGGAAUGAUCUUCCCACCCCUAUCCAGAAUGCAGAAUCCCUGACAAUUUUCAAGCGACAGCUUUCAAAGCUACUUGACUACAUCAUAAAAAAACAAAACAAAAAAACAAUCGUCUUUCUCUUUGUUUAUUCCUUCUCUUUCUAAUUGUGCUUAUUUGACCAAUGUGUAAAACUUGGUAUUACAAGCACUUCCUGUUUCUGUUUGCCUCUUUAAGAAGAAUCGCUUUAUGUAUCCCCCAAUUGUAAGUUGCUUUGGAUAAAAGCGUCUACAAAAUGACUAAAUGUAAAUGUAAAAUGUAAAUGUAUUUCUGCUUUACUCAAUGGAAUUUGUACUUCAACAGCCAUAUGUUACAUUGCCUGUUUGGCCAGUUUGUCAACUAUUUAAUUACCUUGUACUCCCACAUGUGCAGGUACUCAUACGAACCUCAGGACUAUACCCAUUUUCUGUAUUCUAAGCAGAUUUCUUUCCGCUUCACAAGAUGUUAAUUGAUGUUCUGGAGUGGUGUGGAUUACUUGUGGAUUAUUGUGAUGUUUUUAUCAGCUGUUUGGACUCUCAUUCUGAUGGCACCCGUUCACUGCAGAGGAAAGUGAUGUAAUGCUAAAUUUCUCCAAAUCUGUAGCGAUGAAGAAACAAAAUCAUCUACAUCUUGAAUGGCCUGAAGGUGAGUAAAUGUUAAGCAAAUCUUCAUUUUGGGGUGAACUAUUCUUUAAUAUAUGCCAAAAAAAUGAUUUACCCAUGAUUAAAACGGAAUUGUAAAAGCAAUUUUCAAGACAGCACAACAAAUUAAUUGUUGCUUCAGAGAUAUUCCAGAAUGUGACUGACAUUGCUUUUUUGCUCUUUGAUUUCACAGUGACAGAAGUAACAGAGGAAUCACCCUAGAGACCAACUGCUGGUUCUGUUUUCUUUUCUCUUCUUUGUCCUUUUUCUCUCAAAGCGUCACAUCCUGUCUUUUAUUACUUCUGGAUUAGGAGAUAAGCGCAGGCAAAAGAUCCACUUUGAGCGGCAAAUGCAAUUAGGAUUAUGAUUGUUAUGUAUGGUCCUGAAUACAAAUAGAGUGUCAUAAUUAUAAUUCAGGUCUCAUUCAUGCAUUUGCAUCCUAAACCCCUUUUACAGUUAAAACGGUAAAACCUUGAGAUUUGGGAUAUCAUUUAUUAACUUUUUUUAUAUAACACAAGGCAUUAGCUGUAGUUAACAGGCUUAUUGUGAAAACCCAGGAUUGUAUGGGAUUAUGCAUUUACUUUUAUAGGGCUUCAGUGGCAGGUUAUGGAUUGGAUUAUGAUUUGACAGAAAGAGACUGAGGUACAGAUUAGUAUGACCUCAAUUUUCACUCACACAUGCGCUUAAUAUGGGACUGAAAUUCAGAUCAGGUGCUUUUACAGGGAGCUUUUUAUUUUUAUUUAUUUUUUUAAUCUGGGCCAGGGACAUUACUGAAUGAAGGCACAGGUGUCUGCAGCAUUACUGACCAUGUCCAUGAUCCCUCAAGUUCUGUAGGACAACCUUUUUAUUUUUCAUCUGCUGAUGGUACUUAAUAUUUUCAAGACAAUUUUGUUGUACCACAACCAUAUGAAAUGUGUUCCCUAGAGAAAAAGAAAAUUGGUUUCCCAUCAGCUCUCAAUAUAUGGUCGUUCUCCAUUUUACAGCUACCCAGCAUGACUCCAUUGAAAUGGCUGCUGGUAGGAUUACUGCAUUGUGUCGAAAAGGAGAGCAUUUAACCUUGUGACGUCACUUUUUGAAAGCCAGAAUUCAAUGAAAGUCAUUUUAUGAAUUGAAGCUGUGCUGUAACUCUUCUCCAGCCAGGCUUCACAGUUGGGUACAAGUGCGUUUUAUUGUUCUAUAAACCUGGUUUGUCAGGACAACCACUGUUCUCCUGUUCCACUAACAUCUUUCACAGUGUUAAUGCUUUGAAACCGACUGCACUAUGUAUUGUAGGAAAACUCGUAUUUAAUUUCUAUUGAAGGAGUCAGUGAAUAACUUCAGCCGCUGAGGUAACAAUUGGGCUGUUUUAUUAGAAACUACUCUCCAGACAAAGGGAAAGUGAUCUGGUUAUUGAAACAUUCUAAGACCAACAUCGAAUAUUUUACAUAAGAAUAUUUAUAAAAUGUAUAUUUGCAGUCAUUAUAAACUUUCCCUUAAUCAGAAAGGGAAAGUUUGAUGAAAUUCCUUAGGGAUUUUUUUCUACAGGGAUUUUAUUCGAACAAUUAUUGUAAAAACAGCAGUGAUUUAUAUCUUGACAAAUGCUCUGCAAAGACCAUUUCAAAAGAAGACAGCCAAGUCAUGGGACUAUUUAGAUAAUGCUAUUUUACUGAAAACAGCUAUACGGCACAGCAAUUCAGAGAACAUCGGAUCUUGUCAUGCGAAUUGCAGGGUGAGUUUCAAUAUCCAAGCCACAUUUACUGUCACUAUAAAGCACCCCCAAGGAUGUCUGGGAUGCCUGUAAAAAAUUGCAUCCAUCAAUGCUCCACUCAAGCAAUCACAACUCCGGGAAAACUGUUUGACAGCAAGGACAUGGGUGUGGAAUUUUGUAAUAAAACAUGUUGAUUGAAUCUGUGCAAAAUUAUAUAUAUAUAUAUAUAUAUAUAUAUAUAUAUAUAUAUAUAUAUAUAUAUAUAUAAACAUUAAAAUGUCUUACAGCAAGGUUUGUGUUUUCCAUGCUCCCUGGGUUCUGCUCUGUUAAAGGCCAUGAAGGAUGGGCUGGUAUGACCCAGAUUUGCAGACAGCUGUUUCUAUGUAUUUGGAGACACCCCAGAGAGUACAGGAGAUGGAGCCAUUAGAAAUUAAAAGGAAACAAAGUGUGAUCAGCUUUGCUGGG